rnacentral:rRNA from 1 species
ACGGGUGAGUAAUGCCUAGGAAUCUGCCUGGUAGUGGGGGAUAACGUCCGGAAACGGGCGCUAAUACCGCAUACGUCCUGAGGGAGAAAGUGGGGGAUCUUCGGACCUCACGCUAUCAGAUGAGCCUAGGUCGGAUUAGCUAGUUGGUGGGGUAAAGGCCUACCAAGGCGACGAUCCGUAACUGGUCUGAGAGGAUGAUCAGUCACACUGGAACUGAGACACGGUCCAGACUCCUACGGGAGGCAGCAGUGGGGAAUAUUGGACAAUGGGCGAAAGCCUGAUCCAGCCAUGCCGCGUGUGUGAAGAAGGUCUUCGGAUUGUAAAGCACUUUAAGUUGGGAGGAAGGGCAGUAAGUUAAUACCUUGCUGUUUUGACGUUACCAACAGAAUAAGCACCGGCUAACUUCGUGCCAGCAGCCGCGGUAAUACGAAGGGUGCAAGCGUUAAUCGGAAUUACUGGGCGUAAAGCGCGCGUAGGUGGUUCAGCAAGUUGGAUGUGAAAUCCCCGGGCUCAACCUGGGAACUGCAUCCAAAACUACUGAGCUAGAGUACGGUAGAGGGUGGUGGAAUUUCCCUGUGUAGCGGGUGAAAUGCGUAGAUAUAGGAAGGAACACCAGUGGCGAAGGCGACCACCUGGACUGAUACUGACACUGAGGUGCGAAAGCGUGGGGAGCAAACAGGAUUAGAUANCCUGGUAGUCCACGCCGUAAACGAUGUCGACUAGCCGUUGGGAUCCUUGAGAUCUUAGU